ensembl:lncRNA
GUGUGUGGAGGUGGUGUAGUGGUGUGUGGAGGUGUGUAGUGGUGUGUGGAGGUGGUGUAGUGGUGUGUGGAGGUGGUGUAGUGGGGUGUGGAGGCGUGUGGAGGUGUUGUAGUGGUGUGUGGAGGCGUGUGGAGGUGGUGUAGUGGUGUGUGGAGGUGUGUGGAGGUGGUGUAGUGGUGUGUGGAGGUGUGUAGUGGUGUGUGGAGGCGUGUGGAGGUGGUGUAGUGGGGUGUGGAGGUGGUGUAGUGGUGUGUGGAGGUGGUGUAGUGGGGUGUGGAGGUGGUGUAGUGGGGUGUGGAGGUGGUGUAGUGGUGUGUGGAGGUGUGUAGUGGUGUGUGGAGGUGGUGUAGUGGGGUGUGGAGGUGUGUGGAGGUGGUGUAGUGGUGUGUGGAGGUGUGUAGUGGUGUGUGGAGGUGGUGUAGUGGUGUGUGGUGGGGUGUGGAGGUGGUGUAGUGGUGUGUGGAGGUGGUGUAGUGGGGUUUGGAGGUGGUGUAGUGGUGUGUGGAGGUGUGUGGUGGGGUGUGGAGGUGGUGUAGUGGUGUGUGGAGGCGUGUGGAGGUGGUGUAGUGGUGUGUGGAGGUGGUGUAGUGGGGUUUGGAGGUGGUGUAGUGGUGUGUGG